AUUCCAGCUCCAAUAGCGUAUAUUAAAGUUGUUGUGGUUAAAAAGCUCGUAGUUGGAUCUCGGCGGUCUGAGGGCGGUUCGCUUCAGAGCGCUACUGCCCUAUAGACCGUAGUUUUGCCAGAGGUCUCAGGGUGCUCUUAACCGAGUGUCUUGCGAUGCUGGCAGGUUUACUUUGAAAAAAUUAGAGUGCUCAAAGCAGGCUUUUACGCCUGAAUAUUCGUGCAUGGAAUAAUAGAAUAGGAAGUCGUUUCUAUUUUGUUGGUUUUGAGAACCAGAGUAAUGAUUAAUAGGGACAGUUGGGGGUAUUCGUAUUCCGUUGUCAGAGGUGAAAUUCUUGGAUUUACGGAAGACGAACUACUGCGAAAGCAUUUACCAAGGAUGUUUUCAUCA
rnacentral:rRNA from 1 species